UCCGGAGGAGAACACAGGGAUUGCCUCAGUAACGGCGAGUGAAGCGGCAACAGCUCAAAUUUGAAAGCUGGCUCUUGCAGGGUCCGCGUUGUAAUUUGUAGAGGAUGCUUCGGGUGCGGUGCCGGUCUAAGUUCCUUGGAACAGGACGUCAUAGAGGGUGAGAAUCCCGUAUGUGACUGGUGGCCUGCGCCCGUGUGAAGCUCCUUCGACGAGUCGAGUUGUUUGGGAAUGCAGCUCUAAAUGGGUGGUGUACUUCAUCUAAAGCUAAAUAUUGGGUCUAGACCGAUAGCGCACAAGUAGAGUGAUCGAAAGAUGAAAAGCACUUUGGAAAGAGAGUUAAACAGUACGUGAAAUUGUUGAAAGGGAAGCGCUUGCAAUCAGACUUGCGCUGCGUCGAUCAACCUGGGUUCUCCCUGGUGCACUCGGCGCCGCGCAGGCCAGCAUCAGUUCUGGCGGUUGGAUAAAGGCCCAGAGAACGUGGGUCGCUUCGGCGAUCGUUAUAGCUCUGGGUGCAAUGCAGCCCGCCGGGACUGAGGACCGCGCUUCGGCUAGGAUGCUGGCGUAAUGAUUGUAAGCGACCCGUCUUGAAACACGGACCAAGGAGUCUAACAUUUAUGCGAGUGUUUGGGUGUCAAACCCAUACGCGCAAUGAAAGUGAACGGAGGUGAGAACCCUUAAGGGCGCAUCAUCGACCGAUCCUGAUGUCUUCGGAUGGAUUUGAGUAAGAGCAUAACUGUUGGGACCCGAAAGAUGGUGAACUAUGCGUGGAUAGGGUGAAGCCAGAGGAAACUCUGGUGGAGGCUCGCAGCGGUUCUGACGUGCAAAUCGAUCGUCAAAUCUGCGUAUAGGGGCGAAAGACUAAUCGAACCAUUGAAGCCAAACUAGGUGGUUGGGAGGCCUGUAAGGCCUAGUCUCCACAGGGGGGCAAUACUGCAAAAUUGCGGGGACAGUUCGAUAGGCGCAGGCUACCACAGCCGGUUCGAAAGGGCCGGCCACGGUCACAACGCCUGCGCCUGAGCCGAUCCGCAGCGAGUUCCUACGGCGCAUCAGCGCUAUGGAAUGCGCUCAUCGACUAGAUGGCAGUGGGUGUUUUUCAAGAUGCCUAAGGUAUAGUCAAGGCUGCGGCAGCGAUGCGCAGGCUCGCUAACUGC
rnacentral:rRNA from 1 species